rnacentral:pre_miRNA from 1 species
UAUGUACUCCCUCCGUCCGGAAUUACUUGUCAUCAAAAUGGAUGAAAAUUGAUGUAUCUAAAACUAAAAUACAUCUAGAUACAUCCAUUUCAAUGACAAGUAUUUUCGGACGGAGGGAGUACACU